ACCAGAGGUGCCAACUCUGGGCUUCUAACUCCAACUGUGACCCAGGGCUCUGGCACCUGGCCUCUGGAUUCCAGCUCUGACCCUGGACUCUGAUUUCCUGGCUACGGACCCCUGCUCCAAUCUCUAGACAUGACCACCAUGUUCUGAUCACCAACAGCUUGGACUUGAAAUGCUGAUACCUGUAGAAUGUAUUCAGUGGUGUCGUCAUGAUGAAAACUCCAGGAUGCUGAUGCUAUGAAAGGUCCGAAUUUUUGUCAUCUUUGCCUUUCUGGAUAUAUCACCUGAAAGUACAAUAUGUAGGUGUCCCCUGCAGGAAGCAGCAGGGAGGAGAUUUUAAAGUGACCUGUCCAGAGGGCCAAAUCACAGGAAGAGGCAGACAGACCAUUGGCAGGAGGUACCCAAUGAGGAGAGAGCUGCUAUAGCAUGCCCGGCUACAAGGAGGUGCUAGUGGUGAAGAGGAUGGCAUAGAGAAGACAGAAGUGGAUCAGAGAGGAUGUCUAUAUAUGGUGAGAUAAGGCUUGCAAUCAGCAAACCACAACAUGCAGGCAGGCUUCCUGUAUAUUCCAGCUUGGUAUAGUGAUUAGAGUGGUGGGGUGGAGUCAGAACUCUUGGGCUAUAUGCCAGACAUUCUGAGGGAAUGUUUGCCAGUGGUGAUACCAGUCAGUUCUGUGUUCUU